GAUGAACGCUGGCGGCGUGCCUAAUACAUGCAAGUCGAGCGAACAGACGAGGAGCUUGCUCCUCUGACGUUAGCGGCGGACGGGUGAGUAACACGUGGAUAACCUACCUAUAAGACUGGGAUAACUUCUUGAAACCGGAGCUAAUACCGGAUAAUAUAUUGAACCGCAUGGUUCAAUAGUGAAAGACGGUUUUGCUGUCACUUAUAGAUGGAUCCGCGCCGCAUUAGCUAGUUGGUAAGGUAACGGCUUACCAAGGCGACGAUGCGUAGCCGACCUGAGAGGGUGAUCGGCCACACUGGAACUGAGACACGGUCCAGACUCCUACGGGAGGCAGCAGUAGGGAAUCUUCCGCAAUGGGCGAAAGCCUGACGGAGCAACGCCGCGUGAGUGAUGAAGGUCUUCGGAUCGUAAAACUCUGUUAUUAGGGAAGAACAAAUGUGUAAGUAACUAUGCACGUCUUGACGGUACCUAAUCAGAAAGCCACGGCUAACUACGUG
rnacentral:rRNA from 1 species